rnacentral:tRNA from 1 species
CCGUCGAUAGCUCAGUUGGUAGAGCGGCGGAACUGUAGAUUUAUAACUGUGAUCCCUAGGUCGCUCGUUCUAAUCCUGCUCGAAGGA